GGCGCGGAAAUGUCAGAGAGAGGCAAGGGGUCAUAAAAAGGAGGCUUUUGGGCCACAGAAGCCUGAGAAGACUUUGCAAUAGGAGCUCACCUACCUCCCUCCCUGCCUUUAGUGGCCUGAAGAGGCUGCCUACCAACAAAAGCAGGCCUAGCAAGAUAUUUCCUCUAAAACUUAGGGUUGGGAAACACAAAAAUAUAUUUAAGGUCUUGCAAGGCUUUACCUUUUUCUUGAAAAGAUUUAAACAUGGAAGCAGAACAGUAUGAAAGAGUUUUUAACUAUCCAAAGAAGCAUCCAGUAAUUUGGCCUUAAUCUAAUGAUUACAGACGAGGUCAAGAAUAACGCCCCAUGACAGAUCCAAAGGCAGCACCUCUGGAAGAGGCAUUAGCAGUGUCAUAGCUGCACUUAGUACAGUGGCAAGCCACACAAAAGGUACAACCCAAAACAGAGAGAGCAGAAGACUUUCCUUCAGAACCAAAAGGUACAACCCAAAACAGAGAGAGCAGAAGACUUUCCUUCAGAAUCAGGCAUGGCAGAAGUAACCUGACAAGUCUGUGCGAUCAAGGUCAAAGCAUACCUGGUCAUGCAGGGCCUGGUGUUAGUGGCCCUAAAGGCCAAGGUGGCAGCAGUAUAAACCUUCUUUCUGAUCCUCUCCAUAGCCCUACUAUCUUUAUAUGAAGGCAGGAGCUUGGUAAAUGGAAAAAAAACUUAGAAGGCCUGCCACAGGAGACUGACAAUACAGCAAGAUCAACAGAAGGACGCAAACAGGAAUUGACAAUCCUCAGGAGCCUU